AUAAACGCUGGCGGCGCACAUAAGACAUGCAAGUCGAACGGACUUUAACCAUUAGUUUUACUAUUGGAGCGGUUAGUGGCGGACUGGUGAGUAACACGUAAGCAACCUGCCUGUUAGAGGGGAACAACAGUUAGAAAUGGGUGCUAAUACCGUAUAUCUCUAAGGAUCGCAUGAUCCUUAGAUGAAAGAUGGUUCUGCUAUCGCUUUUAGAUGGACCCGCGGCGUAUUAACUAGUUGGUGGGGUAACGGCCUACCAAGGUGAUGAUACGUAGCCGAACUGAGAGGUUGAUCGGCCACAUUGGGACUGAGACACGGCCCAAACUCCUACGGGAGGCAGCAGUAGGGAAUCUUCCACAAUGGACGCAAGUCUGAUGGAGCAACGCCGCGUGAGUGAAGAAGGUCUUCGGAUCGUAAAACUCUGUUGUUAGAGAAGAACACGAGUGAGAGUAACUGUUCAUUCGAUGACGGUAUCUAACCAGCAAGUCACGGCUAACUACGUGCCAGCAGCCGCGGUAA
rnacentral:rRNA from 1 species